UACGUAGGGUCCGAGCGUUGUCCGGAAUUACUGGGCGUAAAGAGCUCGUAGGUGGUUUGUCGCGUUGUUCGUGAAAACUCACAGCUCAACUGUGGGCGUGCGGGCGAUACGGGCAGACUUGAGUACUGCAGGGGAGACUGGAAUUCCUGGUGUAGCGGUGGAAUGCGCAGAUAUCAGGAGGAACACCGGUGGCGAAGGCGGGUCUCUGGGCCGAUACUGACGCUGAGGAGCGAAAGCGUGGGGAGCGAUCCGG
rnacentral:rRNA from 1 species